UACAGGGGGUGCAAACGUUGCUCGGAAUCAUUGGGCGUAAAGCGCACGUAGGCGGUUCGUUAUGUCGGAUGUGAAAGCCCUUGGCUUAACCGAGGAAGUGCAUCCGAAACUGGCGAGCUAGAGUACUAAAGAGGAUCGCGGAAUUCCCGGUGUAGAGGUGAAAUUCGUAGAUAUCAUAAGGAACACCGGUGGCGAAGGCGGUUACCUGGAAGAUUCCUGACUCUGAAACACGAAAGCCAGGGGAGCAAACGGG
rnacentral:rRNA from 1 species